rnacentral:lncRNA from 1 species
AUAAAUUGGUGCAUUAUACCUCUUUUUCCGGCUGGAACCAUGGAGGGUGCCGAAGAGAAGAAAAAGAAGGUUCCUGCUAUACCAUAAACUCUUAAGAAAAAGCGAAGGAAAAGUGCAGAACUGAAGGUAAAGUGCCCGAGGAAGAAGUUUGCCCAAAAGAUGCUUCAAAAGGCAAGGAGGAAGCUAAUCUAUGAAAAAGCCAAGCAUUACCACAAGGAAUAUAGGCAAAUG